rnacentral:rRNA from 1 species
GAUGAACGCUGGCGGCGUGCCUAAUACAUGCAAGUCGAGCGAACAGACGAGGAGCUUGCUCCUCUGACGUUAGCGGCGGACGGGUGAGUAACACGUGGAUAACCUACCUAUAAGACUGGGAUAACUUCGGGAAACCGGAGCUAAUACCGGAUAAUAUAUUGAACCGCAUGGUUCAAUAGUGAAAGACGGUUUUGCUGUCACUUAUAGAUGGAUCCGCGCCGCAUUAGCUAGUUGGUAAGGUAACGGCUUACCAAGGCAACGAUGCGUAGCCGACCUGAGAGGGUGAUCGGCCACACUGGAACUGGGGCACGGUCCAGACUCCUACGGGAGGGAGCAGUAGGGAAUCUUCCGCAAUGGGCGAAAGCCUGGCGGAGCAACGCCGCGUGAGUGAUGAAGGUCUUCGGAUCGGAAAACUCUGUUAUUAGGGAAGAACAAAUGUGUAAGUAACUAUGCACGUCUUGACGGUACCUAAUCAGAAAGCCACGGCUAACUACGUG